rnacentral:rRNA from 1 species
AACCAACAGGGAUUGCCCUAGUAACGGCGAGUGAAGCGGCAACAGCUCAAAUUUGAAAUCUGGCCCUCGGGUCCGAGUUGUAAUUUGUAGAGGAUGCUUUUGGCGCGGUGCCUUCCGAGUUCCCUGGAACGGGACGCCUUAGAGGGUGAGAGCCCCGUACGGUUGGACACCAAGCCUCUGUAAAGCUCCUUCGACGAGUCGAGUAGCUUGGGAAUGCUGCUCUAAAUGGGAGGUAAAUUUCUUCUAAAGCUAAAUAUUGGCCAGAGACCGAUAGCGCACAAGUAGAGUGAUCGAAAGAUGAAAAGCACUUUGAAAAGAGGGUUAAACAGCACGUGAAAUUGUUGAAAGGGAAGCGUUUGCGACCAGACCUUUUCCUAGCGGAUCAUCCGGUGUUCUCACCGGUGCACUUCGCUAGGUCUAGGCCAGCAUCGGUUUCUGUAGGGGGAUAAAAGCUCUGGGAACGUAGCUCCUCCGGGAGUGUUAUAGCCCUCUGCAUAAUACCUUUACGGGGACCGAGGACCGCGCUUCGGCAAGGAUGCUGGCGUAAUGGUCGUCAACGACCCG